rnacentral:tRNA from 1 species
AGAAAUAUGUCUGAUAAAAGAGUUACUUUGAUAGAGUAAUUUAUAGAGGUUUAAAUCCUCUUAUUUCUA